AUUGAACGCUGGCGGCGUGCCUAACACAUGCAAGUCGAGCGGUAACGCGGGAGCAAUCCUGGCGACGAGCGGCAGACGGGUGAGUAAUGCUUGGGGUAUCUGCCCAAUAGUGGGGAAUAACCAGUCGAAAGACUGGCUAAUACCGCAUAAGCCCCCUCUUCUUCGGAAAAGGGGGGAAAGCGGGGGAUCGCAAGACCUCGCGCUAAUGGAUGAGCCCAAGUCGGAUUAGCUAGUUGGUGAGGUAACGGCUCACCAAGGCGACGAU
rnacentral:rRNA from 1 species